rnacentral:rRNA from 1 species
AGUGAACGCUGGCGGCAGGCCUAAUACAUGCAAGUCGAACGGCAGCACAGCAGAGCUUGCUCUGUGGGUGGCGAGUGGCGGACGGGUGAGGAAUACAUGGGAAUCUGCCCAGUCGUGGGGGAUAACGUAUGGAAACGUACGCUAAUACCGCAUGCGCCCUACGGGGGAAAGUCGGGGACCGCAAGGCCUGACGCGAUUGGAUGAGCCCAUGUUCGAUUAGCUAGUUGGCGGGGUAAAGGCCCACCAAGGCGACGAUCGAUAGCUGGUCUGAGAGGAUGAUCAGCCACACUGGAACUGAGACACGGUCCAGACUCCUACGGGAGGCAGCAGUAGGGAAUAUUGGACAAUGGGGGCAACCCUGAUCCAGCCAUGCCGCGUGAGUGAAGAAGGCCCUCGGGUUGUAAAGCUCUUUUGUCCGGAAAGAAAAGCAUCUGGUUAAUACCCGGGUGUUCUGACGGUACCGGAAGAAUAAGCACCGGCUAACUUCGUGCCAGGA